GUCCAGACUCCUACGGGAGGCAGCAGUGGGGGAUAUUGCACAAUGGGGGAAACCCUGAUGCAGCGACGCCGCGUGGGUGAAGAAGCGCCUCGGCGCGUAAAGCCCUGUCAGCAGGGAAGAAAAUGACGGUACCUGAAGAAGAAGCCCCGGCUAACUACGUGCCAGCAGCCGCGGUAAUACGUAGGGGGCAAGCGUUAUCCGGAUUUACUGGGGGUAAAGGGGGCGCAGACGGCAGCGCAAGCCAGGAGUGAAAGCCCUGGGCCCAACCCCGGGACUGCUCUUGGAACUGCGCGGCUGGAGUGCAGGAGGGGCAGGCGGAAUUCCUGGUGUAGCGGUGAAAUGCGUAGAUAUCAGGAGGAACACCGGUGGCGAAGGCGGCCUGCUGGACUGCGACUGACGUUGAGGCCCGAAAGCGUGGGGAGCAAACAGGAUUAGAUACCCGAGUACG
rnacentral:rRNA from 1 species